rnacentral:tRNA from 1 species
GUCCCUCUAUUCCAAUCGGCAGAGAAAGCACGCUUAGAACGUGUACAGUCAGGGUUCGAAUCCCUGGAGGGACACCA